GGUUUGGACCAAACAAUACCUACAGAUGUCACUGUGAUAAUGGCUGUGAAAAGGACGGAAGCUGCAGUCAAAAUGGAGUCUGCCAGAAAGGCUGGUUUGGCUUUAAAUGCCAGUAUCAGGACCUGGUAACAAUAGAGAACGCCAUUUCAAAUCAAGAUUUAGACAAACUUACAGACAGAAAUGAUUCAACUUGCUUAGAUCACCAAAAUCAACUGCUAAUUAUACAAUGGAAUCGAACCUUUGCCUUUACCUGGCUACGUAUAGUUGUUAACGACGCAACACUGCUGUCGUACAUUGAUGUUGAGUUAACCAGCCCGUCACAACCAUCACAAAAUUUGACAUGUGACAAUAAAAGAGUGUAUCUUGUGAACCAGCAAACUCUGGAUAUCAAAUGUGAUGUGACAAAAGAAAUUCAAAGCGUCCUUAUAUCGGGAGCUGGCGUGCAGUCAAUAUGUUCUUUAUAUAUUAAUGGAGGUAAACCUACUGCAAAUAUAAGUUUAGUUUGAUUAU
rnacentral:sRNA from 1 species